AUGAGUAGCUUUGGACCCGUGUCUGCCGGUAGAUCCCCCGUUGUAGUUCGGCCGACUACCGGCGCUGUGUCCCGUCACUUUUGUGGCAUUGUCCCGCUGGAUUGAAACUGUGGCUUGUGUGCUUGUACCCGACCUACGGGAAGUGGUGCUUCAUAUAAUUGUUGCCUCACGGUGGACGCCCUUUGGGUGUGCCACUGCGAUCGAAUAGCGCUUGCGGUGUUGCCUCGUACAGUUGGCACGUAAUGUGUCUGCUGCUAUCACGGCAACCUUGCUCUCGCUUUUGGUCUUGGAUGCUGCUCACGAUAUAGGCUUGAGGCCCUUUUGGUUGCCUUGAUCCGACCCAAAGCUCUUUCCGAAAUGGCGAUCACCGGAACAGGUCUUGCCUCUACCUCUCCACGGUUACGUGGUAGGGUAUGCAACCCUCUGCGCCGGCCCUCAUGGAGGAUGAGCUUGGCUCUUUCCAAAAUGGCGAUCAUCGGAACAGAUUUUGCCUCUACCUCUCUACGGCUACGUGGUAGGUACGCAACCCUCUGCUCCGGUCCACAUGGAGGAUGAGCCUUGCCCGCUCAAAAGCGACAACCGGCCCGGCUGCUGCAUUUGCCUUUCCAUGCAAGUGGAAGCGCAAGGUAACUCCCGAUGCUGGAUGUCACCGAGGACGUGCU
rnacentral:misc_RNA from 1 species